AUCUGAGGUCUGUUGAAGAUGGGGGUCUGAUCUGAGGUCUGUUGAAGAUGGGGGGGGAAGCUCUGAUCUGAGGUCUGAUGAAGAUUAGGGGUCUGAUCUGAGGUCUGAUGAAGAUUGGGGAGCUCUGAUCUGCAGUUUGAUGAACAUUGGGGGUAACUAUUGAGAAAUAUUUUUCUCAUUUGCCUCCUCCGGCUUAUAGACAGAAAAAAAUCAUCUGUAAUACCAGACUAUGAACUGGGA